rnacentral:rRNA from 1 species
AGCGGAGGAAAAGAAACCAACAGGGAUUGCCCCAGUAACGGCGAGUGAAGCGGCAACAGCUCAAAUUUGAAAUCUGGCCCCAGGCCCGAGUUGUAAUUUGCAGAGGAUGCUUUUGGCACGGUGCCUUCCGAGUUCCCUGGAACGGGACGCCAUAGAGGGUGAGAGCCCCGUACGGUUGGACACCAAGCCUUUGUAAAGCUCCUUCGACGAGUCGAGUAGUUUGGGAAUGCUGCUCUAAAUGGGAGGUACAUUUCUUCUAAAGCUAAAUAUUGGCCAGAGACCGAUAGCGCACAAGUAGAGUGAUCGAAAGAUGAAAAGCACUUUGAAAAGAGGGUUAAACAGCACGUGAAAUUGUUAAAAGGGAAGCGCUUGUGACCAGACUUGCGUCCGGUGAAUCACCCAGCUCUCGCGGCUGGGGCACUUCGCCGGCACAGGCCAGCAUCAGCUUGCCGUCGGGGACAAAAGCUUCAGGAACGUGGCUCCUCUCGGGGAGUGUUAUAGCCUGUUGCACAAUACCCUUCGGCGGGCUGAGGUACGCGCUCCGCAAGGAUGCUGGCGUAAUGGUCAUCAGCGACCCGUCUUG